GUAUAGGAAAGAGCUUACUGAGAAUUUAAUUGAAUACUACAGAAAAUUCAAAACUGCUGAAAAUCUCCGACUGCAAGAAAAAUUUUGUGAUCAUGUAAUUAAAGCAUGUGAAGGUGUAAGACGUCCUACGAAAGACAGUGAAAUGAAGCCACAUGGUUUUUCUGUAGAUGAUGUAAACAAAAAGUUACAAGAUGUUCAGGAAAAAGGAUUCACAUCUAUUGAAAGUGAAGUAGAUGCCGCUCUGGAAAAACCUUUAACUCCAACUACACCAGUUCCUCAUGAAGAAUUAUGAAAGAAUAGUUUACUUAAUGCAUUUCAUUCUCUAAGUAAUGGUGAAUUCAAACAUUCAUGUAAAUAACAUACUUCUUAAAACAUAGUUUUCAGUCAUUUAAUCCUAAAAUGCACAUAUGUAAAGAUUUUUCCCAUUAAGGUGUAGUAAAUCACGUUUCACUUCGUCAUCCAACGUAAAAUUUUGUUUUAGGUUACGCAGAAAAUAGUCUCCGAUUUUUUUUAAUACAUACAUGCAUGCUAAACAUUAAAUAUCAAUUGUCCUUUAACUAAAAACAUAUUCUCAAUACAUUCUGCGACUCAAAUUUGUUUUCGGACAUUUGUAGUUUUGAAAUUUAUUUUAAUAGAUCUUGUAUUAAAUACUGAAACACAAACUUCAAAAUGUUUUAAUACGUUAUUUUUUUUCCUUUAUUUUAAGCCUCGCUUGUUAUAAAAUAAAUAUCAUCAAAACUCUCCUUGCAAUAAAAUAAUUUAUUCGAAAAGUGUUAAUCAGUAACUCCACAAUAGUUCGGACAUCUAAAAAUUUUGUUGAGUCAUCAUAAUAAUCGUCAUAAUAAUAAUUAUCGUUUGUACUUGGCAUUUAUUACUGAUCUAGCAAAACAUAUUAAGAGUUUUACAUCUGAAGUAAACAUAGAAAAAUGUUACAAAUUCCCACUGAAUUCUGUUAGAAAUUAAACUAUUCACCAUUUUAAAGAUAUGAAUAAUAUGGAUCAGUAUAAAUACGUCUAAAAUAUUCUUACUGAACACUUAACAGCAUCUGCAAGAAAACUUGGAAUGGCAGAUUCAUCCAAGUACUAUUAGGUUAAUGAUCAUAAAUAUACAGUCUUAAAAUGUCCGGUUCUGAUUGCUAUACAACUCUCAUAAAGUUACAAUAACUGCUUCCAUAUUCUUGAAACUUACCGAACAUGUAUGAAAUGAAUUGAAGAGAACAAAAUAUGGCAUUUCUUUGACAGCUGUAAAUAAAAGCAAUUCUUACGGAGGAACAAAAGAAAAUGCGGCAUUUUAAUGCGAAAAGUUAGUUAAAUCCACGCCAUGUUCAUGAAAAAUUAAUUGUAGGCUAAAGAAUAUCCAACGAAAUAUUGUAUGCCCGUUAUUUUCAUGUUUCUAUGUUCAAAUGUCCGAAUACUUAUGCGAGAUCAUUUUCAAAAUUCUUUUUAACCAAAAGUGAUUUGAAUAUUUUUUUUUCUUAAAUUAUAAUCUUAUUUUGAAGAAGAUCAAUACUAUAUAUGAGUGGGGGGAAUUAAAAGUUAAUUUGCUAAUAUUUAAUAACUGAUAUUUGCGAAUAAAAUUGAUAAAUACUUAUCCGAAAACAAAUGUGUGCCCGUUAGUUUAGAGUUCAUUUAUCAAAUUAAAAACGGUUUUAUGCAAAAUCGAUAUGAUGACGGUCAAUAUAAGACGAUAAGAAAGAAUAUGAUUUAAUACCAUGAAUUACAAAUAAGGAACUUACCAGCUAUUUUGCACAAACAAUUCUAAAAUGAGAGACUAUAUUUAAAUCAUAUUAAUAAGAAAAGUGAACUCCCUUUCAUCUAUAACUAUAAAAAAUCAGUUACAAAAAUAUAAUAAAAAAAUAAAGCUGUCGAUUAUACUGAUAAAUGGCUUGAUGAAAAAGAAGAAUGGUAUGUCUAAUGAAAAUUCAGCAAGAUAAUGGGCGUUUCUAUUUUGUCGAAUUGCUGAAAAAUUAAAGAUAACAAAAUCAACAGUUCAUCGAAUUAAGGAAAAUACGAACUUAAUAAAUCUUUUCCUGAAAACAAAAACCUAAAGUUAUUAAAAAAAUUCCACAGCAUUUAUAUGAACAAUCAAUUUCAUUCAGAUAACAAAUAAAGAAUUGCCUCAACA
rnacentral:lncRNA from 1 species